UUUUCUCUCUGACUGAACUGAGAAUAUCCACAGAACCUCCCUGUUGAAGCAUUAGCUUCCCUUCCAUCCCACAGGCAUAUUUUGGCACUGCUGGUCGAUCCUGAUCUCUGGAAGCACCUUUGUGAUGGCACAGCCCUUGUCACUGCCAGCUCUGAGGUGGAGCUGUGCUGUGUCCCUGGGCACAGGUUUUCUGGAAUACUUUGACAGCCACUUCCAGUGCAGAUCCACUCCAGAGCUGCCCAGAGCAAAGCAGAACCCUGUGCCCAAGGUCCCUGUGCGUCCCAGGGACCGUGCUCCUGUCCCCUCACAGGCCACUCUGCUGUCACGAUUACAUGUCCUUUGAAACUCUUAUUUCCACGCAAAAUCAUUCUAACAAAAAGGUGAAGAGCAGCAAGCAGGGACACCUCCCCUUGGAUUCCCCACUUCAUGCAUUCAUUCUUAGAAUUCUAUUUCUGACACCUCCUCUCUAACUUUUGUAAUGUAAAACAUUAAUAAACUUCUUUG